rnacentral:lncRNA from 13 species
AUGAGGGUGUGUCUUUCUUAUGAGUUUGAACUGCCGGCAAAGGUACUCAUUGCCAAAAUCCAUAAGUAUCCAUUUAAUAAGCAGAGUUCAUAUAUCACGCUGGAAAGCAUAGAACACUGCGUUCCAGUGCCUGCGAUUACAUUUUGUGUUUGUAUUGGUUACAUUUUGUGGUUGAUUCUGAUAGGCAUGUCUCCUCUCCUCUCUCCUUUCUCUUCCUCUCAUUUCUCUUUCCUCUCCUUUCUCCUGGACCAAACUCUUUCAUUCAGGAUGAUGUCAUCCACUGAGUCAGGAACAGAUGUUCCUAAACUACAUCGCCUUUUCAUCAUGUUUGACCCAGAGGUUGUAGCGGUGAUGUCGAUACUCCUGGGUCUAUUCCAGGUGCUGUUGGCUGUGCCUCUGUACUACAUAGACAUUGGUUUACCCAAACUACAACUCACGCUCCCUUUAUUUAUUGGCUUCCUGUUUGUGAUGGCAGGGUCGUUCGCCUUCGCCUGUGAGAAGUCUCCCAGCAGACAGCUACUGACAGGCUGUGCCUACACUAACGUGGCCAGCCUGGUGGCGAGCCUACUGGCUCUGUGUUUGUACAGCGUCUCCCUACACUCCGUCCAGGGCUCUGCUGCACCCUGCACUCUGCCAAGCAUUGACCUGUACACAUGGGCUGCACAAAAGUGCCCAGGAGAGUACCUAGAGGAGUUCUUCAGGAGUAUCAUAGUCCUACUCAUCGUUUAUGACUUGGGUGCUCUUACCCUCCACUCUCUCCUCUCUUUCUCCGCACUCAAGGGACUCGGAGUGAGACUGUGCCGAAUGAUCAAUUAA